AUUGAACGCUGGCGGCAGGCCUAACACAUGCAAGUCGAACGAGUGGCGGACGGGUGAGUAAUGUCUGGGAAACUGCCAGAUGGAGGGGGAUAACUACUGGAAACGGUAGCUAAUACCGCAUACCAUCGGAUGUGCCCAGAUGGGAUUAGCUAGUAGUUGGGGUAAAGGCUCACCUGGGCGAAGAUCCCUAGCUCGUCUGAGAGGAUGACCAGCUAUACUGGAAAUGAGACACGGUCCAGGCUCCUACGGGAGGCAGCAGUGGGGAAUAGUGCACAAUGGGCGCAAGCCUGAUGCAGCCAUGGCGCGUGUAUGAAGAAGGCCUUCGGGUUGUAAAGUACUUGCAGCGAGGAGGCGUUACUCGCAGAAGAAGCACCGGCUAACUCCGUGCCAGCAGCCGCGGUAAUUC
rnacentral:rRNA from 1 species